UGGGAUUACAGACUUUGUGUUGGAGAAGAUUAAGGAGGUGAAGGGAAAAGAAAAUCCUGUUCUAUUCGCCUAUUAAAUAAAGGAAGAAAUGGGAGCCGGGAGAUUAGGGAACUGAUCAAGAAGUACUGCAGAAAGAAGACAUCCAUGCGGUCCUUUGCUGUCCUCUCUCCUACACUGCAGCGGUGGCCAUUUUUGCUUCGCUGGGCUCCACGGAUCUGGAGGAGCAACAGAUCUGCACAUCUGAAGGUCAGGAAUUUGGAGAAGACAUGGUGCGACGGCUUGUCGCUGCUCUCAGCUGUCUAGGGCUUCAACUGGGAAGACUUGAAUAACAGGGACUGCAAUCAUCUGGAAUCUUCUUCUUCCGCAUGUGCCCUGUCCCUGGGCUGGCUUGGGCUCAGCUGGAACUGUUGGCAGGAUGUCCACAGCAUAGUGGCCUCAGGGUAGU
rnacentral:lncRNA from 1 species